ensembl:lncRNA
GCCUUUUCACAAAUGCUUUAUUUGUAGGACACUGAACAAGACACAAGGGGAUGAGGGGGACACGGAACACGGAGCUGACACACACACACACACACACACACACACAUUUUCCUUAUGGAAAGAGCAGCACGUGGAUAGAGGUCACCCCAGCAGGCUGGGAAAGCUUGGUCAAAACCAGCCAAGCAUCCAACAGGAAAGCUUGGAAUGAAAACCCCAGCACUAUCCCGCAGGAUUCGGAUGCUGUGUGGACACGGAUGCAUCAGGGCAGAUGAUAGAGCCAAGGGAGGCAGGUUUGGGCACAGAACUGGUGGGUUUGGGUUGGGAGCAGAGCACCAGGCUCAGAGAUGGGUGUUAGAAUGCACCAGGGCCAUGUUUUAUGGGGAAGAACAACCCAUCCACUACGGUUUUGACCUUACCUGGAGAUCUAGGUCUUAAGUUUUAAGCAGUGCUGAGCACCAGUUCCAACCAGUGAAGGGCUGAUGGCCAGAAACCUCCCCCCAGCUCCUUCCCAGGCCCUUCUGCACCCAAAAUACAAAGCAAUAGUGGAGGGGAGGAAGAAAAUCAGUGUUAAAGUCUCUCCUGCUGAUACCUCCCGGGUGCUCCUCCAUUCCUGAAGACCCUGUGGAAUGUGGGAACACACUGAUGAAGUUUUUGGAGCGCUGGGAUGGUCUCUCUGAACAAGAAGCCAGCCAGUGGCUUGGCCCUGUUGCAAUCGGGCAGUGGAGAGAGGGAAAGUGGGGAGGGUUGCUCUGAGCUACCCCAGUGUGGUGUUCACCAGGAUACUGGUGUUACCAACGAGAUCUAUCACAAAAUCACCUCUGAGAGCUUCCCAACCAUGAGCUUAGACCCUUGUGGUCAGGCGGGAGCAGUUUCACCAUCACCAGUGCAGAUUUGAGGGAGAUUUUCCUAUUUCUAUGACUUUCAGAAGUCAUUGAAUCACAGAAUGGGUUGUGUUGGAAAGGACCUUCAAGCUCCUCCAGUCCCAAUCCCUGCCACGGGCAGGGACACCUUCCACUAGAGCAGGUUGCUCCAAGCCCCUGUGUCCAACCUGGCCUUGAACACUGCCAGGGAUGGGGCAGCCACAGCUUCUCUGGGAAAAGUCUGUGCCAGCGCCUCAGCACCCUCACAGGGAAGAGCUUCUGCCUCAGAGCUCAUCUCAGUCUCCCCUCUGGCAGGUUAAAGCCAUUCCCCUUGGCCUGUCCCUCCAGGCCCUUGUCCAAAGCCCCUCUCCAGCUUUCCUGGAGCCCCUUUAGGCACUGGAGCUGCUCUAAGGUCUCCCCUUCAGGAGCCUUCUCUUCUCCAGGCUGCCCCAGCCCAGCUCUCUCAGCCUGGCUCCAGAGCAGAGCUGCUCCAGCCCUCGCAGCAGCUCCGGGGCCUCCUCUGGCCUCGCUCCAGCAGCUCCACGUCCCUCUUGUGCUGCUGCCCCAGAGCUGGAUCAGGACUGCAGGGGGGGCUCCCCAGAGCGCAGCAGAGGGGCAGGAUCCCCUCCCUGACCUGCUGUCACCUCAGCAAUCACAAAUGGGCAAUCAGGGCUGGAAUGGGCUUGCUGAGGCUGCCCAGUUCCUUCCCUUGCUAAAAGGGGGGUGGGGGGUGAAGAUUCCCUAUAGCUGCAUCAUGUCUGAAAACCCACUGUUGCAGUCAGAGGGAAGAAACCCAUCUGGACAGCCUGAGGAUCUCUGUAUUGCAACCACAGUCACAAGAAGCAUCCGUAUUUUUAACUGGCUUUGGUAUCAUCUCCCACCCACUUCACAUCUGGACCAGGGCAGGCUGAAGACAAAGACAAGGCUCAAAAGAGAAGUGAGCUCUGACAACAACAUGAUUCAGCAAGCAAACACCAAGAGGCUGUGUCUGCCUGAAUCCUUCACCCCAGUCACCACCAGUUCCCAAACACCAGCAUGGAGGAGCUGUGCUGGGUUAAAUGUGUGCAGAGACAGGCAGUGAGCUCAGGGUGAGCAGGAUCUGUAGUCAAAGCAAAACUAUGUGCUUUGGCAUACAGGAAAUAGCUCUUUCCAACAAUCCCAACGCUCCUGUGAUCUCCAAGGCACCGAUGGUUUGGUCUGGUGCACAUAAUCCAGGAACUGGGUUUGAUUUGAGCGAGCCCUGUGACUAACCAGCUCCCAAACUGCAUCUUCUGCUCCUGCCAAGCCUUGGGAUUUUCCAUUGUGAAAGUUUCCACUGAUCCUCAAUCCAACAACUGGAAUAAAUCAAGAGAGAUUGCACAGAACCAUCAAAUCCCAGCCUGGUUUGGGUUGAAGGGACCUUAAAGCUCAUCCAGUUCCAACCCCCUGCCACGGGCAGGGACACCUUCCAUUAGAGCAGGUUGCUCCAAGCUCAUUCCUAUCCCUACAGGCCCUUGUCCAAAGCUGGUAAUUUGGGGGGAUUUUGCCAUGUCCCCAUUAUUCAUGAGUCAAAGAGAACACUUCUUCUCUCUGCAUUUAAUUUCACCACAGUCUGUGCUAUCCUUCACCUAAACACCGCUUGUCUCCGCCUGUAGCUCC